rnacentral:rRNA from 2 species
GGACUACCCGGGUAUCUAAUCCUGUUUGCUCCCCACGCUCUCGCGCCUCAGCGUCAGUAUCUGUCCAGGUAGCCGCCUUCGCCACUGGUGUUCCUUCCGAUCUCUACGCAUUUCACCGCUACACCGGAAAUUCCACUACCCUCUACAGUACUCCAGUCAUACAGUCUUGUAUGCAAUUCCUAGGUUAAGCCCAGGCCUUUCACAUCCAACUUAUAUAACCGCCUACGCGCCCUUUACGCCCAGUAACUCCGAUUAACGCUUGCACCCUCUGUAUUACCGCGGCUGCUGGCAC